rnacentral:rRNA from 1 species
ACGCACGCUGGCGGCGUGCCUAAUACAUGCAAGUUGAGCGCUGAAGGUUGGUACUUGUACCGACUGGAUGAGCAGCGAACGGGUGAGUAACGCGUGGGGAAUCUGCCUUUGAGCGGGGGACAACAUUUGGAAACGAAUGCUAAUACCGCAUAAAAACUUUAAACACAAGUUUUAAGUUUGAAAGAUGCAAUUGCAUCACUCAAAGAUGAUCCCGCGUUGUAUUAGCUAGUUGGUGAGGUAAAGGCUCACCAAGGCGAUGAUACAUAGCCGACCUGAGAGGGUGCUCGGCCACAUUGGGACUGAGACACGGCCCAAACUCCUACGGGAGGCAGCAGUAGGGAAUCUUCAGCAAUGGACGAAAGUCUGACCGAGCAACGCCGCGUGAGUGAAGAAGGUUUUCGGAUCGUAAAACUCUGUUGGUAGAGAAGAACGUUGGUGAGAGUGGAAAGCUCAUCAAGUGACGGUAACUACCCAGAAAGGGACGGCUAACUACGUG